UCCUACGGGACGCAGCAGUGGGGAAUAUUGGGCAAUGGGCGCAAGCCUGACCCAGCAACGCCGCGUGAAGGAAGAAGGCUUUCGGGUUGUAAACUUCUUUUGUCAGGGACGAAGCAAGUGACGGUACCUGACGAAUAAGCCACGGCUAACUACGUGCCAGCAGCCGCGGUAAUACGUAGGUGGCAAGCGUUAUCCGGAUUUACUGGGUGUAAAGGGCGUGUAGGCGGGACUGCAAGUCAGAUGUGAAAACCACGGGCUCAACCUGUGGCCUGCAUUUGAAACUGUAGUUCUUGAGUACUGGAGAG
rnacentral:rRNA from 1 species